UACGUAGGGGGCGAGCGUUGUCCGGAUUUACUGGGUGUAAAGGGUGCGUAGGCGGGCUAGUAAGUCAGUGGUUAAAAACCGUUGCUUAACAACGGGGGUGCCAUUGAUACUAUUAGUCUAGAGUUCGGUAGGGAGAGCUGGAAUUCCUGGUGUAGUGGUGAAAUACGCAGAUAUCAGGAGGAAUACCGGAGGCGAAGGCGAGCUCUGGGGCCGCUCCUGACGCUGAGGCACGAAAGCGUGGGGAUCAAACAGG
rnacentral:rRNA from 1 species